GCGGAACGAGUUGUCUGAACCUUCGGGGAACGAUAACGGCGUCCAGCGGCGGACGGGUGAGUAAUGCCUGGGAAAUUGCCCUGAUGUGGGGGAUAACCAUUGGAAACGAUGGCUAAUACCGCAUAAUGCCUUCGGGCCAAAGAGGGGGACCUUCGGGCCUCUCGCGUCAGGAUAUGCCCAGGUGGGAUUAGCUAGUUGGUGAGGUAAUGGCUCACCAAGGCGACGAUCCCUAGCUGGUCUGAGAGGAUGAUCAGCCACACUGGAACUGAGACACGGUCCAGACUCCUACGGGAGGCAGCAGUGGGGAAUAUUGCACAAUGGGCGCAAGCCUGAUGCAGCCAUGCCGCGUGUAUGAAGAAGGCCUUCGGGUUGUAAAGUACUUUCAGUCGUGAGGAAGGUUCAUGCGUUAAUAGCGUAUGGAUUUGACGUUAGCGACAGAAGAAGCACCGGCUAACUCCGUGCCAGCAGCCGCGGUAAUACGGAGGGUGCGAGCGUUAAUCGGAAUUACUGGGCGUAAAGCGCAUGCAGGUGGUUCGUUAAGUCAGAUGUGAAAGCCCGGGGCUCAACCUCGGAAUAGCAUUUGAAACUGGCGGACUAGAGUACUGUAGAGGGGGGGUAGAAUUUCAGGUGUAGCGGUGAAAUGCGUAGAGAUCUGAAGGAAUACCGGUGGCGAAGGCGGCCCCCUGGACAGAUACUGACACUCAGAUGCGAAAGCGUGGGGAGCAAACAGGGAUUAGAUACCCUGGUAGUCCACGCCCGUAAACGAUGUCUACUUUGG
rnacentral:rRNA from 1 species